GUGAAUAAAAUCACAAAAACUUUAUACCCCUUUGUUUGACCGUGAAAAAUUUCUCCCAUCCCCUUUGUUGUCUUGACAAAAGGAAAAGCCCGGCGUUUUGCCGGGCUUUUCCU
rnacentral:sRNA from 1 species